UGCUUCAGCCUCCUACGUGCUUUGAUUAC
rnacentral:piRNA from 1 species